GGGGUCCGACUAAGCCAUGCGAGUCAAGGGGGCGUCCCUUCUGGGACGCCACCGGCGGACGGCUCAGUAACACGUCGGUAACCUACCCUCGGGAGGGGGAUAACCCCGGGAAACUGGGGCUAAUCCCCCAUAGGCCUGGGGUACUGGAAGGUCCCCAGGCCGAAAGGGAGCCGUAAGGCUCCGCCCGAGGAUGGGCCGGCGGCCGAUUAGGUAGUUGGUGGGGUAACGGCCCACCAAGCCGAAGAUCGGUACGGGCCGUGAGAGCGGGAGCCCGGAGAUGGACACUGAGACACGGGUCCAGGCCCUACGGGGCGCAGCAGGCGCGAAACCUCCGCAAUGCGGGAAACCGCGACGGGGGGACCCCCAGUGCCGUGCCUCUGGCACGGCUUUUCCGGAGUGUAAAAAGCUCCGGGAAUAAGGGCUGGGCAAGGCCGGUGGCAGCCGCCGCGGUAAUACCGGCGGCCCGAGUGGUGGCCACUAUUAUUGGGCCUAAAGCGGCCGUAGCCGGGCCCGUAAGUCCCUGGCGAAAUCCCACGGCUCAACCGUGGGGCUCGCUGGGGAUACUGCGGGCCUUGGGACCGGGAGAGGCCGGGGGUACCCCCGGGGUAGGGGUGAAAUCCUAUAAUCCCGGGGGGACCGCCAGUGGCGAAGGCGCCCGGCUGGAACGGGUCCGACGGUGAGGGCCGAAGGCCAGGGGAGCGAACCGGAUUAGAUACCCGGGUAGUCCUGGCUGUAAAGGAUGCGGGCUAGGUGUCGGGCGAGCUUCGAGCUCGCCCGGUGCCGUAGGGAAGCCGUUAAGCCCGCCGCCUGGGGAGUACGGCCGCAAGGCUGAAACUUAAAGGAAUUGGCGGGGAGCACUACAAGGGU
rnacentral:rRNA from 1 species